GACGAACGCUGGCGGCGUGCUUAACACAUGCAAGUCGAACGGUGAAGCGCCUUCCUUUUUGGUGGGUGUGGAUGAGUGGCGAACGGGUGAGUAACACGUGAGUAACCUGCCCCCUUCUUCUGGAUAACCGCAUGAAAGUGUGGCUAAUACGGGAUAUUCUGGGUCUGUCGCAUGAUGGGUCUGGGAAAGAUGUUGUUUCGGUGGGGGAUGGGCUCGCGGCCUAUCAGCUUGUUGGUGGGGUGAUGGCCUACCAAGGCGGUGACGGGUAGCCGGCCUGAGAGGGUGGACGGUCACACUGGGACUGAGACACGGCCCAGACUCGUACGGGAGGCAGCAGUGGGGAAUAUUGCACAAUGGGCGCAAGCCUGAUGCAGCGACGCCGCGUGAGGGAUGGAGGCCUUCGGGUUGUGAACCUCUUUCGCCAGUGAAGCAGGCCUGCCUCGUUUGUGGGUGGGUUGACGGUAGCUGGAUAAGAAGCGCCGGCUAACUACGUG
rnacentral:rRNA from 1 species